rnacentral:lncRNA from 1 species
UUUUUCCCGGGCUUUCGGUCAGCGUUUACCUUUUCUCGCGGGUUUGGGCGCGCAUCGAACUCUGAAGGGUCGGGAAGGCCUGUCGUUGGAAUGUGGUUGAGUUCCAGGGAGUGUACAGGCUGGAGGAUGGGACAAGACCUAUCUCUGUAUCGAUCAAGCACGGCGUUGGUGUUCCAGCUCAUCACCGAUCCUAAGGAAUUCAAGUGCCUCCCAGGAUGAAUACAGGUAAUUUUUCCAACUGGGGCAUUGGGGUGGCCUCUGUUGUUCCCCACAGAGCAAAUGGGCAGUGAAGCAGUGUUACCUUUUUGCUCCUUCAGUUUCUUCCUUUUGCAAUGAUAUUCCUGGGGAGGGAGACAGCAAGCAGCACAGUUGGUUCUGUGAGGGUGUUCUCUUCCUUCACACAUAUGUCACUGUCAGAUGAUUUGAAUUGACAAUGCUGAUCCUCUGUGAGGUCCAACACUUAAUAGCAUGUUAGAGUUCUGAUGGCAGUUUACAUGAAUGAAAAAGUGUUAUCUUGUGAUAGUAUUUUAAAAUAACCAUUUGCUGCUGUUCUACAGGUUGUCUUGAUGGUGAUACAUUCAUCUGUCUUAAGGUAAGUUACUCCUACCAAUACUGUGGUAAAUUAAUGUAUGUGUGAGCGUGGGUAACUACCAUCUGGAGGGAGUGUUGUCAAAGCUUCAGUUGAUGACUUUCUGGGUUCUUUGUUCCUUGUAGUGGUGAUUCCUGAGCUCUUAUUUUGUCUUUUGUUUCCUAGAUCCCUGCUGAUCUGCUCAUGGUCAAACUCAUGGAAAGAGUUGAGAGUGGUGAGUACUUGUAACCUUGGUUAUAACUUGUCUCCAGUGCCAGUGAGGAGAGCAAGCAUCCUGUCUUAACCCCUGUCCUAGCCCCAGAGCCAGUAAUGGUGAACCCACUGGGGCUAACAGGGAGAGAGGAUGAAAACAUGUUCCGUAAGGAACUGUCUGAGGUACAGCAACUGCCAAUGGGUAGCAUUUGUUUAGCUUCCCUUGGCUUACAUAUUAGCUGGGAUCCUUUUGGUUUUUUAAGGUACUCUACUGAUUUCAUGAUCUUCUCAUUCAGGGGCACCUUGUUCCUGCAUCCUCAAAGGAGCAUCUUGUUCCUCUAUUUAAGCUUCCAGAGUUAAAAGGUUAGUUGAUUAAUGUCACCAUAAUAUAUGCCACCAAGUAAGCAGUUUCUGUGAUGAAUCAAACUAGCUCACUAUGAACUAACAAUGAAAAGAUAUGAACACCUGAGAAACUGGAGAACAGAGCAGUGGGAUACUGUCUGCUAGGAACUUAAUAUCACUUACAGUUUUGUCCUUUCCUAGGUACCUGUACCAUUUAGCGGCUUGUUCACUCAAAGAUCCAUCUUUUCUGGAGCCUGAGGAUGAUUGGAGGUAAAUCUGUUUAUCUAUGGCUGCUAUGUAAAGUUUGCCAGUUUUUGUGUGGCACUUUGGAUAGUUGUGCAGGUAUUACUUAAUCCAAAGUCUGCCUUUGGCCAUUUGUGAACCACCUGAAACAGAUUUCUGCUCACAUGAUGAGUUUGAUACCGCCCCAGUCUGAUCACUAUGACUGAAAGGUAUUUUCUGAGCUGUGAGUUUGCCUUAGAGUGGGAAGUUAGUCUUUUUAUAAAAUGUCUGUUGAGACCUACACAGCCUAUUAGGGUGUCCCAUUCCUUUGGUAAUGUGUUGACUUAGUUCCCAAUCUCUGUUUUGCAGGUGAAAGGUGUAAGCCAUACUCUGCUCAACUCCAGUCUGAAACUAAGGUUAAAAGAACACGUACUUAACACACGGGUAAGUAAGUAUCCAUUCACGUACUUGUGUUAAAUAUCAGACUAACUAUAUAAAUACAAAAGUACAUUAGAGCAGCGCUUUUAGUGUUAACUGGUUGAAAGGAUAGUAUGUUCUAAGUCCGUUUUAGUAACUAAGUCCGUUUUAGUAAGAACCCUAAACUGUUCUUUUUCUCUGCAGGAAUCCAACUCUUGGAGGACAUCAGAAGUGGAAUUUUCUUAUACAACCUACCUAUUCAAAUUAGCAUAUAAUCUUUCUAGCCUUUCUAAAUAAAUAAAGGGAUUUUUUU